rnacentral:tRNA from 1 species
GCCCUAGUAGCUUAAACAUAAAGCGCCGGUCUUGUAAUCCGGAGAUCGAAGGUUAAAAUCCUUCCUAACGCC